CGUAGGUGGCAAGCGUUGUCCGGAAUUACUGGGUGUAAAGGGCGUGUAGGCGGGAAGGUAAGUCAGAUGUGAAAUCCCAUGGCUCAACUGUGGGGCUGCAUCUGAAACUAUCUUUCUUGAGUGCUGGAGAGGAAAGCGGAAUUCCUAGUGUAGCGGUGAAAUGCGUAGAUAUUAGGAGGAACACCAGUGGCGAAGGCGGCUUUCUGGACAGUAACUGACGCUGAGGCGCGAAAGCGUGGGGAGCAAACAGGAUUAGAUACCCUGGUAGUCCACGCUGUUAAACGAUGGAUACUAGGUGUAGGAGGUAUCGACCCCUUCUGUGCCGCAGUUAACACAAUAAGUAUCCCACCUGGGGAGUACGGCCGCAAGGUUG
rnacentral:rRNA from 1 species